GCGGCAAGAGCUCAAAUUUGAAAUCUGGCUCCUUCGGGGCCCGAGUUGUAAUUUGUAGAGGAUGCUUCGGGCGUGGCCGCGGUCUAAGUCCCCUGGAACGGGGCGUCGCAGAGGGUGAGAAUCCCGUCUUCGGCCGGCCGGCCCCGCCCGUGUGAAGCUCCUUCGACGAGUCGAGUUGUUUGGGAAUGCAGCUCUAAAUGGGUGGUAAAUUUCAUCUAAAGCUAAAUACUGGUCGGAGACCGAUAGCGCACAAGUAGAGUGAUCGAAAGAUGAAAAGCACUUUGAAAAGAGAGUUAAACAGCAUGUGAAAUUGUUGAAAGGGAAGCGCUUGCGACCAGAGUCGGCCGCGGGGGCUCAGCGGGCACUCGUUGCCCGUGCACUCCCCCGUGGUCGGGCCAGCGUCGGUUUCGACGGCCGGUCAAAGGCCCCCGGAAUGUGUCGCCUCUCGGGGCGUCUUAUAGCCGGGGGUGCAAUGCGGCCAGUCGGGACCGAGGAACGCGCUCCGGCACGGACGCUGGCUUAAUGGUCGUAAGCGACCCGUCUUGAAACACGGACCAAGGAGUCUAACAUCCACGCGAGUGUUCGGGUGUCAAACCCGUCCG
rnacentral:rRNA from 1 species